GCCUGUUUAUCAAAAACAUGGUGUUUUGAGAUAAUUUAAGAUCGGGCCUGCCCAAUGAUUAAUUAAAUGGCCGCGGUAUAUUGACCGUGCAAAGGUAGCAUAAUCAUUAGUUUUUUAAUUGAAAGCUGGUAUGAAUGGUUUGACAAGAAAAUGGCUGUCUCUAUUUUAAUUUAAUUAGAAUUUUAUUUUUUAGUGAAAAAGCUUAAAUAGGAUUGAGGGACGAGAAGACCCUUUAGAAUUUUAUAUGAGUUUAAGUAGGAAUUUUAGGGAAUAUGUAUAUAUUUAUUUAAAUAGGUAUUUUAUUGGGGUGAUGGAAAAAUUUAAUUAACUUUUUUUAUAUUUAUUCAUUAAUUUAUGAAUUUUUGAUCCUUAAGAAAUGAUUAUAAGAUUAAAUUACCUAAGGGAUAACAGCGUAAUUAAUUAGGAGAGUUCUAAUCGAUUAAUUAGUUUGCGACCUCGAUGUUGGAUUAAAAUAUACAGUUGGUGAAGAAGCUAAUAUGUUAAGUCUGUUCGACUUUUAAAAUUUUACAUGAUCUGAGUUCAGACCGG
rnacentral:rRNA from 1 species